GUCCAGAUGACGAGUCUCAAAUAGGGCGAAACACGUGCCUUGGAU
rnacentral:hammerhead_ribozyme from 1 species